rnacentral:rRNA from 1 species
UAAGGAAUAUUGGUCAAUGGACGCAAGUCUGAACCAGCCAUGCCGCGUGGAGGAUGAAGGUCCUCUGGAUUGUAAACUUCUUUUAUCCGGGACGAAACACUUCUUUUCUAAGAGGCCUGACGGUACCAGAUGAAUAAGCACCGGCUAACUCCGUGCCAGCAGCCGCGGUAAUACGGAGGGUGCAAGCGUUAUCCGGAUUCACUGGGUUUAAAGGGUGCGUAGGUGGGUAUGUAAGUCAGUGGUGAAAUCCCCGAGCUUAACUUGGGAACUGCCAUUGAUACUAUAUAUCUUGAAUACCGUAGAGGUAAGCGGAAUAUGUCAUGUAGCGGUGAAAUGCUUAGAUAUGACAUGGAACACCAAUUGCGAAGGCAGCUUACUAUGCGGUGAUUGACACUGAGGCACGAAAGCGUGGGUAGCAAACA